AGCAAUUUAAUUUUGCUCUUUUAAGAAGCAUCUAUGGUGACAAGAGGGCACUGUUAUGAUCAUGGCUACCGCUGUGAGGUAUCAGCAUGUGUCUUGCCAGCGCGCGUCAAACGGCAUGAAGGGGGUCCAAACGUUAAGGGCGACUGGGCGAGGGGUCCAAGGGAGUCCAAACAGAGUGUCCAAGCGCUCAGGGAGUGUAUGGACCGGGGGUCCAACUACUCGCGAGCGCUUGGACCCCCGGUCCAAAUAGAAGGGGGGUCCAACCACCCUCCAACACCUGUAUCAACGCCGCGCCUGUAUGAUCUCCUGUCGAGUGUCGACGCCUGAACGUCUUACAAAUGGCGGCACUGGAGUAAAAAGGAUUUUAUAAGUAGUCCUCAGUCUAAUGUAUUUCUAAUAGACUUCAACACACCUCAAUCCUGUAGCCAUGAUACUCAGUGUACUUCUACCCUGGAAACCUCUCCUGUAUGUAUAUCUCUUGCCCACCCAACUCUAUCACUUCAAGCAAUGAAUGGAUUAUCCUGUAACUGUGUGACUGGAUACAGACAAACCUCUAACAUUGGGCCAGUCACUUGUGAGGCCUGCCCUAGUCUCAGCUCAGUUAGAUCUGAUGAUGGUUUGUAUUGCCUCACUUGUCUGUCUCCAUUGAUAUACACUGGAGGGACUUGCACUGGCUGUGAGGAUCAGACUUCUAUAUUUGUUGACACAAUUCCCAUCAAUCGUUCAUCAACUGGAGACAGAAGGUGCCAAACAUGUCCAGCUAGCACGAUUGCUGACUCUAGCAAGAAGCUCUGUAUCCCUGUGGUAUCAGUAAUUGCUCCAACUGCCUCUCAUUCACUAAUGGAGUCUGCUUCACUCAACCACUCACUCCUCCUACUUCUACUCCCUUUCCAUUUUAUUCUAAUUUCAGCUCUUCCCUUGCUCUAUGCAACAUACGUAUUGAGUGUCUGGUUUCAUUCUAAUUUAUUUGAAUUCCUCUAGAAUGGUAGUUUGAGUGCCUGCCAGUUGUUGAUCAAUUUGUGUGUGCUUCAAAGUUAUAGCAUGACUGAUCAAUCUUGUCAAGAUAUUAGAUGUCUUUCAUCAACUUCGCCUAAUCUAGUCCCUGAAGUAUAUUAUGCUCAGUUUGGUGCUCAGCAGUAUUUAACUAACAUAGCCAUUAAUACUGUUUUUUCUACAUCAAUAUCAAAGAUGGUUAUACGUUGGUGCCCAUUCCAGUCUUAAUCAGUGGUUAUCAUCACAAUAAUGGUGUACUUGUUAAUGAAGGUGAUGAUAGCUCUCAGUGGCAGUUUGUGAGAUGUUUCUAUACCCACCAGUCAGUCACUGGCACUCCAUCAUAUCUUGAAUCCACUGAAAUCAAUAUACAGUUAACCAGUCGUGGUCACAUUCAGUCUCCAUAUCUUAGACUGUCCUAUCAGGCUAUACCUACCAAUGAUGCACAAAUACAGUGGAGGAAAUAAUGCUUUCAAUAUUGCUUUAUUAGUAAUAGCUAGUGUGUUUGUUAUUCUAGCUGCAGUCUAUGCUGGCUAGUUCAUAAUCACAUUAAUAAAUACUAGAAAGAAUUAAAAAUAUUGAGGGGCUCCGCCUCCUGACUGCACCUCCCAGUCAUGCCCAGAUGUACGUACAAAUUCUUUCCUUUGUUCCAUGUUGUCUUUUUCAUUUUUGUUCCUGGUCUCUAUUUCCUUUAUAUUUUGGUUGUUGUUCUACAAGCUACAAGUGACCCUUCUCCUAAGUCCUAACGCUCC